rnacentral:lncRNA from 1 species
AAAAAAGUACACGCCCCUUCUACGUGCUCUACUGACGUAACCUCAUCCACCCAAGCCUACAUUUGUAUGUAUCAUCAAUAAAGUUGUGUGCUUGGGUGGAUGAGGUUACGUCAGUAGAGCACGUAGAAGGGGCGUGUACUUUUUGAUGAACAGGUUCACUAUCCAUCAGCUCACGCAGAAGAAAAGAGUAAAUGGAAAAGAAGUCAACCUAAGCAGCUACAAACUGCAUUUUCAGCACAAGCUCCGAUACCUGUCUGGUCUCCACCAAACAGUCCAGCUUACACACGGAGACCCAGGCAAGGUGAGGGACACAGGCAAGGUGUCCCUCGUGACGCUAUAAUGGGAUGUUCUUUAUCGACAGCGGGCAGCUGAAAUGAUCCCUUUACCACAGGAAGGAGGCUGCAAGGGACUAAUUUACUAUGUGCAUUGCCUGCAGACUGCAAAACCAAGAGGUUACUCAGAGCUCCGUGGGAACCCUGCCUGCCUGGCCGAUAAGAGUGUGGUCCUCCUGUUAGCAAGUGUAACUUUCACCCCAUGAUGUGGUGAUUGGCGAGGGCUGGAC